UAGGGAAUCUUCGGCAAUGGACGAAAGUCUGACCGAGCAACGCCGCGUGAGUGAAGAAGGUUUUCGGAUCGUAAAACUCUGUUGUUAGAGAAGAACGUUGUGUAGAGUGGAAAAUUACACAAGUGACGGCAUCUAACCAGAAAGGGACGGCUAACUACGUGCCAGCAGCCGCGGUAAUACGUAGGUCCCGAGCGUUGUCCGGAUUUAUUGGGCGUAAAGCGAGCGCAGGUGGUUUAAUAAGUCUGAUGUAAAAGGCAGUGGCUCAACCCUUGUGUGCAUCGGAAACUGGUAGACUUGAGUGCAGUAGAAGAGAGUCGAAUUCCAUGUGGGGCGGUGAUAUGCGUAGAUAUAUGGAGGAACACCGGUGGCGAAAGCGGCUCUCGGGACUGUAACUGACACUGAGGCUCGAAAGCGUGGG
rnacentral:rRNA from 1 species